CCAGAGUUUAACUGUUACGGAGUUCUCUAUGCUACAAUUUUGUUGAGUUCAUAUUUCAGGGGCCCUGCUGCUGUGUACGGUGGCCUUCAGCCAGGACGUGUCUUGGCCCUGGCCGUGAGAGCCAUCUGGGCUGGGUGAGGCUGUGCCCACCUCAGAGGUGGGGCCAAGGACCUCUGUCUUCUCUGGUGGAAAGAGCCCUUCUCAGGGUCUAAACAGAAACAUGGGAGCUUUUGUGAAACCAUUAUAAUCUCCUGGGAACAGAAGCUUAAGGGUUUUAGUCUCUUGAUUUUUAGUAUUAAGGAGUUUGGGAUUGUAUGCAUACAUCAAAACUCAGUCUUUCUUGGCUAUAUAUUUUAUAGCUUUAAAACUCCUAUAUUAAAUAACCCUUCCAAUACUGCUACAAAUUAAAAACCUGGACCAAGUGGACCUCAACUAACUACUGCAGCCACCCCUGCUGGGGGCAAGCCAGAGCCCACUAAAACAGGACAUUUGGCUACAUUUACAGGGCUGUUUAAAUGAUUUGAAGCAACAGAUGUGUAUAUUGACUUGGAAGGUUUUGCAGGAAACUGUGUUUCAGUACUUAAAUAGCAUACUGUAAGGGCUGACCUUGAUCCAAGGGGUCACAAAUGUCACCUCGUUGGGAGGUGUCUUUUCCAGGAUCUACGUUAUAAUUAUGAUCUCCUUGGAAGCACCAGGGGAGAAAUUCCAGAUGGUUUUGCAAGGAUAAAGUGAGAGCAAAUGAACAUCCAGGUUAUGUAUUCUUACUCUAUUAAUUUCUACUUGAACUCAUUUUUAAUGUGUUUUUACUAAUAUUAAGAAAAUAAGCCAUGAUAUAAAGUGUUGGAAAGGAAAACCCUGACUGCACACCCCAGCCCCGUAACAGAACACAGAAACGCGCAGGGCCUUUUCCCUUCUGUCUGCCUUUCCGGCCUCUGGACACAGAAACGCGCGGGGCCUUUUCCCUUCUGUCUGCCUUUCCGGCCUCUUGACAUGGAAACACGCGGAGCGUUUUCCCUUCUGUCUUCCUUUCCGGCCUGUUGACAUGGAAACGCGCGGAGCCUUUUCCCUUCUGUCUGCCUUUCCGGCCUGUUGACGUGGAAACGCGCGGGGCCUUUUCCCUUCUGUCUGCCUUUCCGGCCUGUUGACGUGGAGACGCGCGGGGCCUUUUCCCUUCUGUCUGCCUUUCCGGCCUGUUGACGUGGAGACGCGCGGGGCCUUUUCCCUUCUGUCUGCCUUUCCGGCCUGUUGACGUGGAGACGCGCGGGGCGUUUUCCCUUCUGUCUGCCUUUCCGGCCUGUUGACGUGGAGACGCGCGGGGCCUUUUCCCUUCUGUCUGCCUUUCCGGCCUGUUGACGUGGAGACGCGCGGGGCCUUUUCCCUUCUGUCUGCCUUUCCGGCCUGUUGACGUGGAGACGCGCGGGGCCUUUUCCCUUCUGUCUGCCUUUCCGGCCUGUUGACGUGGAGACGCGCGGGGCCUUUUCCCUUCUGUCUGCCUUUCCGGCCUGUUGACGUGGAGACGCGCGGGGCCUUUUCCCUUCUGUCUGCCUUUCCGGCCUGUUGACGUGGAGACGCGCGGGGCGUUUUCCCUUCUGUCUGCCUUUCCGGCCUGUUGACGUGGAGACGCGCGGGGCGUUUUCCCUUCUGUCUGCCUUUCCGGCCUGUUGACGUGGAGACGCGCGGGGCCUUUUCCCUUCUGUCUGCCUUUCCGGCCUGUUGACGUGGAGACGCGCGGGGCCUUUUCCCUUCUGUCUGCCUUUCCGGCCUGUUGACGUGGAGACGCGCGGGGCCUUUUCCCUUCUGUCUGCCUUUCCGGCCUGUUGACGUGGAGACGCGCGGGGCCUUUUCCCUUCUGUCUGCCUUUCCGGCCUGUUGACGUGGAGACGCGCGGGGCCUUUUCCCUUCUGUCUGCCUUUCCGGCCUGUUGACGUGGAGACGCGCGGGGCCUUUUCCCUUCUGUCUGCCUUUCCGGCCUGUUGACACGGAGACGCGCGGGGCCUUUUCCCUUCUGUCUUCCUUUCCGGCCUCUUGACGUAGUCUACUUUUACUCAGCUCCUGUCAUAGUGCUUGUAAGACCCCAGAAGUGACAAGAGGGCAGGAAACUUCUGGCUCACGCCAGCACGGUAACCACUGCUUCUGUCCGUCUCCUCGACAGUCCGCACACCACUGCACAAGGCAGCGGUUUAUCUUUUUAAUUCUCUGCUUCAUUGGCAUAGCCUUGACUGGCAAACA
rnacentral:lncRNA from 1 species